rnacentral:rRNA from 1 species
AUUGAACGCUGGCGGCAGGCCUAACACAUGCACGUCGAGCGGAGCGGCGGACGGGUGAGUAAUGCCUAGGAAUCUGCCUUGUAGUGGGGUACAACGUCCGGAAACGGGCUCUAAUACCGCAUACUAUCAGAUUAGCCUAGGUCGCAUUAGCUAGUUGGUGGGGUAAAGGCCUACCAAGGCGACGAUCCGCAACUGGUCUGAGAGGAGGAUCAGUCACACUGGAACUGAGACACGGUCCAGACUCCGACGGGAGGCAGCAGUGGGGAAUAUUGGACAAUGGGCGAAAGCCUGAUCCAGCCAUGCCGCGUGUCUGAAGAAGGCCUUCGGGUUGUAAAGGACUUUUGUCAGGGAAGCGGUACCUUAAGAAUAAGCACCGGCUAACUACGUGCCAGCAGCCGCGGUAAUUC